CCAGAUAGGACACCUGGAUCAAAUGACUACUAGACCCUUUGGAUGAGUUUCUGUGUACUCAUCUCAUUGCUGGUAUCUAGGCAUCGACCUAGUGCACUUUGCCCCGUGUUUGCGCCAUAUGGCCGCUUUUGAAAGGCCUCCCACUGUAGCUGUAAAUAUACACGGAACGACGGAGGAUCAUUCGGCAGACGUGUACAUCCUUGUGCUUUGAGCUGCUUGACUGCCACGUCCUGGUUCACAGGCUGCAGGUUAGGAUGUUCUGUCCAGGAAAUAUGAAGAGGAACGUGUUGAGGCGGCGACGAGUUUCUCCAAUCAACAUCUGCUCAGAGACCCGGCCUAGAGCUCCCCGGCUUUCCAAAACUCCCACCGCUAGCUCUCCAAACAUCGCUCGUACUAGACGCCGUUCCAUUAAGCGUUCCAGUCGAUCUUCCGAGACACCCCUCAACGCCGACCAGACGAAAGAAUAACCAUUGCAGGAACACCACG
ensembl:lncRNA